AUGGGGAUCUGGCUCACGAGUUCUACGAGGAGACAAUCGUCACCAAGAAUGGGCAGAAACGAGCCAAGCUGAGGCGGGUACAAAAGAACCUGAUUCCUCAGGGCAUCGUGAAGCUGGAUACCCCCCGCAUCCACGUGGAUUUCCCUGUGAUCCUCUACGAAGUGUGAGUCUCAGCAGGAAACUCCCUGGCUCAAGGUGUGGCUUCCCCGAAGAACCCAGGCCAAUGCACCACCCGGAAUAAACUCCUCUGUGAGCGGAGCAGUCCCGCCGUGGUGGCUGGGUGUUGGUCUGUGUAUGAACAAGAAGACAGAACUACCCUGGGCGGGAAUGCCUGGGUCCUGUGCCCUUGCCUGACCUGCUUGCUUCCAAGCUUGCCCGGGCCCCAGCCCUGGUAGAGGCUACAGCACUUUACAAGCAAGGUCUGCCUUCUCCCAUCCCCUGGGCUGUGGGGGCUAUACACAAAUGGGGAUCCCUUUGCCCUCACCUCCCUCGUCCCCUUGUUGGAGCGUUUCAGCCGUUUGCUACCUCGAAUCCUCCUGUGUUGGACAGAGGCUGGGGCAACACUAGCCGAAUGCUUCCUGCCCAGCUGUCCCCACUCCCAGCUGGAUGGACACUUUGCUGGCAGUUGACAGUUGAGGGGAUUGGUGUGGGAGGCAUCUUCUGCCACCCAUGGCUGGGCCGACCUCUCCCCACUGCAAUAGUUGUUGCACUGGCUACCCAGUUGAGGGUGCAGGCCAAGUACAGGAAGGGGAGGGGUGGGGGGUGCCUGGGCCUACAGGGAGUUGCCCCACUGCCAUCUCUAAUCCCCCUGCCUUUGCACCCCCACCCCACCCCCACCGUCCCUCAGCCCACCAUCCUGAGAUAUGAGACAGCACCCCAGGGCUGGUGCCAAUAGCUCUCAGGAGCCCCCUCACCCCUGCCCCAUAGCCCCUUCAGGAUCAGUCAAGGGAAAGUACUGGAGCCCCCACCUUUUGUGCAAAGAAGACUUAAAUGUGAAGGUUUGUAAAUAGUCUAGUCUGUGAUGAUGUGGGAGCCGAGUCUGAUCUCUGUGGAGAGACUGCUUUUUAAAACUCCCUUACUGGGCAAGCUGCGUGCUUCUAGAGGGAGGGAGAGUGGCUUGGGGAAGGCAGUCCCCAGGCAGGGAAGGCUGCUGUGUUCUUUGUUCAGUUUCAAUAAAAUGAUUUGUAGAGCCCUCA